rnacentral:lncRNA from 10 species
AGAAGGUGGUCAUUAGAUGCAGUCUUUUCCUUUUUAAUCCCCUCUUAGCACUUCUGUGAGUGGAGAGGACAUUAAGUAAAAUUUGGAAUCAUAAGUUGCAAUGCAGUAAAAUGGUGCUGGGGAAGGAGCCAGUUAGUGUUUCUGUGAGUUUGUGUUGUGAUGCAAUAAGAGAUAAGUAAUGCAGAGAGAAAUGAACCAUGGAAAGUAAGAACACUGAUGGUGAUUCCUCUGCAAAGAUGAUAAGAAAAAGAACCAAUAAAUCACACAAUCUUUAUGUGCUUUCUAUAUGUAUUUCUUAGUAGUGAUACCAUUGAUCCUCUUACUUUUUUUACUCCAUUAAUACUAAUAAUUAUAUACUUUGCUGAGGAUCAAAACAGCCAAGAAAGGAAUUACUGCUAAAGCAUCUAAGAUUCUCCUGAACUGUAAAAUCAACAGGAAAUGGCCACUGGGAGAGAAGGAUUUGGUAUUGGGUGAGGGGCUUUCUCCCUUUACCUGCCUCUUCUUGCUUGCUAAUAGUAAGUUCUUUGUGCACCUUCCACCACUUCUGAGCCACUACUAUUCAAGUAGAGAUUUGCCCCAACACAUUAACUUUUUCCUUGGAGAUUUAUAUGGUCCUGCAUUUUGUCCUGUGCUCACAAUGUGAAGUGUCUUCUGUAUUCAAAUCAAAAAAUAAUAUAUUUAAGGUAUAUAAGUGUGAAUCUCCUAUAAUGAUGGAAGAAGAGGUUCUCUUGUCUUAGAUAGAAAAGAGCCUUCUCCAAGAGCAAUGUCAAAACUUGGGCUGUCAUCUUUGAGCUGUUUACCAAAAUACAGACCAUUAUUGAAGAAAAACAAAUUAUCUAUUUUGUUUUCCCCCAUCUAACAUGAUAGUGCCCCCAACCAGGUUGUAGCAUUGCCUUUUAAAAGAGACUCACUCACUCUUAGUUUUUAAGAACUGGAAAUUUCCCAUCCUCAGAUCCCUUAAAGGAUGAAGAGUUGGCUGUACACUUAGCGGACUUGCCUCUUGUAUGCAAGGACUACUGAUUGAAGUCUGUUUUGCUGUGUCUGGUUAUGUUGUCUGCACUUUUAUGAAAUCACUACAAUAGGUCUGCAUUGGAAAUGACUAUUAAUUUGUAAAGAAGUAAGUUUUAUUAAACACUGUCUAGAAAAAGAAAGUGAAGCUGAGAACUCUUCCUUUAUUGUGCAUUUAUAUUUUCUGCUGAAUUCCGGUAGUUCCCUUUAAAGUCAUGUUGACUAAUGUUUUCCUCCUUGUUUGUAUUCAGAUUUCCAAAAUUUCACUCAUACAAGGGAAGAGACUCCAUUUAGCUUAACGGUAGUCUUUAGAUCAUAAGAAAUAUAUAAAUUAGUAUGCACCUUAUCUGCCUGUUGUGGGUUUCUUAAACUUGCACUUCCUACCCACCCAAAGAUAGAUAUCCUUUAAAGAAAAUAAAGGCAGAGAAUUAAAACUGGGGAGCCAUUUACUAUGUCACCAUCACUGUUAACUGUUUCCCAGCAAUCUAAACUUUUUGAAGUUUCAGAGGUGUAUUUUUUUUUUGUAUAUAUGUCUGUGUGAUUGUAUUGUUUUGUUUCUAAAUAUACAAGGAAUUCUUUAAAUAGAGAAAAAGGUUAAUCCUCACUGAAACACCAGGAUGCCCACUGGAUAUACUAAUCUGAACAUCUGUAGGUAGUUUGUCAUGAAAAAGUGGAGAGAAGAUGAGACUUUUGAAUGAAUGAAAAAGGGUAUCUUGAUACCCAGAAUUCCCCCCAAAGUACGGGUAAUUCAACCUGCACAGUUUUCUUUCACUCAAAGUGUUCAGCACUUGUGAGUGAAAAAUCAUGUAAUUAUCUGUAAAUAUGUAGCUAACAAAUUGACCUAGUUUCUGUAUUUUUUUGUUUUUGUACUAAAGUUUAUAGGUCUGUGCCAGCUAGAGAGAAGUUGCUGUCAUUACCAGUUGUGGUCCUAGCAUCUAACCCUGAAACCAUCCUAGGUGACAUUUUUAGAAUUAAUACUUAAAUGUUAAACAGGGGGAAAUGAAGCUUAAUCAUGGUCAGGUUUGAGAUCUUUUGCAGUGAAAUAAUUUUAUUUAAUAUAAAUGAUCACAUGUCCUCAAUCAUGAAUGAGGUAGGGAGCCUCUCUCCCCCAGUGGCCAUGUUUACAAAAGUGUGUUUUGUCUAUAAAGUGCAAGUGUUUUAAUGUUUAUGUAAAUUAUGCAGGUGAUAACAUGGUUUGGAACUGUUUAUUGGGCUCUUUAACUGAAUUUUCAAAUGAAAUGAACUAUGCUUAUUGCUGGCACAUUGAUCCCAUUUCUGGAACAUUUUUCCUAUUUCCAGAGUUACAUAUGUUCUUUUGUCAUUACCCAAUUUAACCUCCCUUUCUCUGAUAUGCCUUGUAGCCAAAGUAUUAAAGGCUGAUGAACAUAGACAAGGGAAAUGCAUUUCUUAGAAAUCCGUGAACCCUCAGUUGUAUGCUUUCAGUACUCGUGUUAAUAUGUUUCUAUGGCAACUCUGAGGUCAGUGGUUUAGAAAUGAGAUACCAGUGUUAAUGAAAAGUGUGUGCUCUUUGCUUUUGCAUGGCUUGGCUUAGUAUCCAAGGUAUAUUAGGGCCACUUGAAAGCAUGAAGACCAGUUAUAUAGGGAACAGGUUUCUCUCAGUGGCACAUUUUGCUUUUUCUGAGCCCCAAAUACAUUGCCUGGGCAUGAACAUUGUUACCGUAAAUUGCACAUGGUCAUGGACUGAAUUAUGUGACUUUAAAGGAUGUAACUGCCCAACAUUUGCAGAUUCUGGGUGGUCUAUGUGACCAUUUGUCUCGUAUCCAAAAACCCCGGGGCUAUUGGAACCCUUCCAACACUUUUUCCUUUGUCAUAGACAAGUUUAUAUAUAACUUACCAAGAUGUUGGCUGUCCUGGUGUAUUGCCAGACAGCUCUCUUUUGGUUCCCAUUCCAAAUGUGCUGCUGUCCUUCUUUGCAUUUCACAAUAUCAAAGAAACCACCACCCUUCUUCCUAACAGCAUUUUAUGCCUUUUAUUCCACAUUAAAUGGGAAUUGUGCCUACUUAGGAGUGCCCCUCCAAUUAAUUACAUGUGUCCAAGAAUAAUCCAAGCUAGAGACACAAGGUGGGAAAACAUUUCAAAAAAAAAAAGUCCUCUUAAGGCCAGUAAUUUAUCUGAAAAGGUAUUUUAUCACACCUUGACACCUUAUAUAUGAGCCUAUUAGGAGCUGCAGGUGGUUUCAUAGGGUAAAAUCCAAGAAAAGAGAAGGAUGUGUGGGGUUUCUAUUAGAAGAUAAUUUUGUUCUCAUUUUACCUUUUCUUUUAUGAUCCUUCUCUGCUAGAACAGGUUAAUUCUCCAAAUUUGUUUUGUUUUGUUUUGUUAUUUUUUAGGGAACUCUUUUGCAAAAGCAAUGGUCGGAUGUAAAUAACAUUUAAAGUAUAGUGCACAUAACUUCCCCGGACUGUUCCAAUCUGAUAAUUUGUAAAUGCUUUAGAGUUUUUUUAAUUAACACUUGUGUUGCUAAAUUCUAUUUAUGUAAGUCUGCUAAAGUUUUUUAGCCCACUUAAAACUUAAGACAACCAUUUAAAAUAAUGGAUGGGUUACUAUGAGCAAUUUCGCUUUCAGAACCCCCUUGUUUUAGUAUAUGAAAAAGCCUAAUGCGCAUUAAUGAGGUUGAAGAGACUAUGAGAAAUAUGUAUAGUGUAUAUUUUAAAACAGCUUUGCUUGUAUUGUGAAGAUUUAAAAACAAACUUGAGAUUUUUAACGUAACUAUUAACACAGUUUUAACAUAAGUUAUCCCACUGGGUUUAAGAGCAUCUUGAAUGUAUAAUCCUUUUUGUAACCCAGGUUGGUUUCUACUUUUACCAGUCACCCAAACAUAUUUAUGUUUUUAGUUUUAUGUACUCAUUUCCCUUUGUUUUCCUCAAACAGCAUGAUUUUUUUGCACAUGUAGAAAUUUUUUAAAAGAAAGAAAUUAGUACAUCAUUUUCUCUGGAUUUUCUUCACUUCCCUCUUCCUUUCUACUAACUCCUUCCUUAAAGGCCAUAUCACUCCAUUUGCAUUAUUUGUGCAAAUGCCAGGGUUGGUUUUUAUUUUUAUUUUUGCUAUUUACCUAAAAAAAGAAAAUGCUUCAGUCAAUUGCUUUUUUAUUUAAAAAAAAAAAGAAAAAAAGCUGUAACCUUAUCAUUUCUGAGUAGACCAUUGAGCGAUGAAUGCACACCUGUAGUAGCCCAGGACCAGCUGUGGUGGCUAAAGGGAAUAUGUUAAUUAAGCAAGAGGUUCUUUUCUAAAAGUGGUAUCUGUUAUCCACAAUGUAUUUUAGUUAUUCCCACAAGUCAGGGGUCCAGAUAAAAUGAGGGUUAUCAGCUAACUGAUAUGCUAUCAUUGAGGUUCAUCAAUGAAUUUGUACAUUUCUAGUUCCCUUUGGUGAAGGGAAAAAUGAUGAUUUUGCAAGACCUAGAUUUUGGCUUGGUUUCUUGCCUCCUUUUUUGGCAGCCUUCAUCUUCUCAUCUCCCAAACCCCCUGAGCCCGUAGGGUUUUCAUAGUGGACAAAGAACUUGUGGUCUUUUAAAACUGGGACUGAUACUUUUUUGAGAGAGUAUCGUGUCGAAAGUGUGAUGUUCUACCACUUUACCAAUAACUAAUUUUAAAUACACAUUGUCCUCUCGAUUUUUGGACCAAACAGACGCUCACAGUGGAGGCUUAUCAAGGGUUGCAUUGGGGAAGAAGCCUCUCCCUCUCUGUCAGCACCAGCUGGUAAAGGUGACUGUACAGAUGUGCAUUUUCCUUUUGGUAUAAAUGGUCCACAGCACUAACUGGUAAGGCUUAUUGUACAGUAUAUUGUCAGUAUUCUUCUGGUUCAGCAUACCUUAUAGUUCAUAUAUAACCUGUAUUAAUUGUAUAGAUUGUGCAUUAAAAGCUGUUACCAAGUUGUCAGAACAUAAGAGCGAAAACAAGGUCAUAUGUAAUAUUUUGUUUGUAAGUAUCCUUUGUAUCAUAGCAAAGGAAAUGUUUAAAAAAAUCAACUGUAAUAAAGUAAUUUUAGCAAAAAAAAAAAAAAA